CUGGAAACGGUGGCUAAUACCGCAUAACGUCGCAAGACCAAAGAGGGGGACCUUCGGGCCUCUUGCCAUCAGAUGUGCCCAGAUGGGAUUAGCUUGUUGGUGAGGUAACGGCUCACCAAGGCGACGAUCCCUAGCUGGUCUGAGAGGAUGACCAGCCACACUGGAACUGAGACACGGUCCAGACUCCUACGGGAGGCAGCAGUGGGGAAUAUUGCACAAUGGGCGCAAGCCUGAUGCAGCCAUGCCGCGUGUAUGAAGAAGGCCUUCGGGUUGUAAAGUACUUUCAGCGGGGAGGAAGGUGUUGUGGUUAAUAACCGCAGCAAUUGACGUUACCCGCAGAAGAAGCACCGGCUAACUCCGUGCCAGCAGCCGCGGUAAUACGGAGGGUGCAAGCGUUAAUCGGAAUUACUGGGCGUAAAGCGCACGCAGGCGGUCUGUCAAGUCGGAUGUGAAAUCCCCGGGCUCAACCUGGGAACUGCAUUCGAAACUGGCAGGCUUGAGUCUUGUAGAGGGGGGUAGAAUUCCAGGUGUAGCGGUGAAAUGCGUAGAGAUCUGGAGGAAUACCGGUGGCGAAGGCGGCCCCCUGGACAAAGACUGACGCUCAGGUGCGAAAGCGUGGGGAGCAAACAGGAUUAGAUACCCUGGUAGUCCACGCCGUAAACGAUGUCUACUUGGAGGUUGUGCCCUUGAGGCGUGGCUUCCGGAGCUAACGCGUUAAGUAGACCGCCUGGGGAGUACGGCCGCAAGGUUAAAACUCAAAUGAAUUGACGGGGGCCCGCACAAGCGGUGGAGCAUGUGGUUUAAUUCGAUGCAACGCGAAGAACCUUACCUGGUCUUGACAUCCACAGAAGAAUCCAGAGAUGGAUUUGUGCCUUCGGGAACUGUGAGACAGGUGCUGCAUGGCUGUCGUCAGCUCGUGUUGUGAAAUGUUGGGUUAAGUCCCGCAACGAGCGCAACCC
rnacentral:rRNA from 1 species